UUAGCCCUGACCCUAAUGUUUCCAGGGCCUAAAGUUCAGCUCUGGCUGAAUCGGUCCAUAAAACCUCCCCCCAACCAUCAUUGUUAAGCAAAUCUACGCCCUAUCCCAAAUAAACUUCCUCCAACUGAAUGUUUCUACUCUUUUCUCCCUCAGAGCUGUCCUGAGUGAUUUCUUCAUUCACUCACUCACUCAUUCGACAAAUAUAUACAGACGCCUCCCUUGAUGCCUGUCUUAAUCUGAAUUCAUCUUUGCAAACAUGUUGGAUGAAUUUACUCUGAAGAGUGAACAUGCCAGCAGCCCAGACCAAGACCUUCUCUCUGGCCUUGAAACCCUUGGGACUGAAGAAAGUUAAGUCAGCUGAAAGUCACAUGCUUGCUUACAAGCAUGGCUUGAUGAGUGGCGUAUAGGUCCGCGCCCAAGAUCCAAACCUGCGAACCCUGGGCCGCUGAAGCGGAGUGCGCGAACUUAACCACUACGCCAUCGGGCUGGAUCCAGUGUUGCCUUAUUUAGAAAAAUGUUAUUUUAUUUGCAAAUAUGUUACCUUAUUUGCAAAUGUAAUUAAGUUAAGGAUUUUGAAAUGGGCAGACUAUUCUUUACUAUCUGGGUGGGUCCUAAAGGCAAUCACAAGAGUCCCUACGAAAAGGAAGCAGAGGGAGAUUUCACACAUAGAAGACGCAAAGGCAAUGUGACCACAGAGGCAGAUAUUGAAGUGAUGUGGCUAGAAACUAAGGAAUGGGGGCAGCCACCAGAAGCUGAAAGAGGCAAGGAACGGAUUGUCUUCUAGAGCCUCUGGAGGGAGCACGGCCCCGUUGACACCUUGAUUUCUGCCCAGCACACUGAUUUUGGAUUUCUGGCCUCCAGAACUGGGAGAGAAUAAACUUCUGUUGUUUU